AGCUUUUUGAAUCCGGGUAGAGAUUCAGUCAGACAUCAACCCAUUAGGGCUGAUCAGACUUCCGAGAUAAGUGAAGUU
rfam:Schistosoma margrebowiei strain Zambia genome assembly, scaffold: SMRZ_scaffold0001430